rnacentral:rRNA from 1 species
AUGCACAAACUCCUGCAGCUUCGACAGACCGGCAGCGUGGCUGAAUACCGGACGGCAUUCGAAGCUCACAUGUACCACUUGCUCGCCCUCGACGCGACACUCAACCCCAAGCUAUUCGUCACUCAGUUCCUAUUGGGGUUGCGCGAUGAUUUGCGAGCUGCAGUUCGCCUUCAGGAACCAUCGAGCAUCACCCGCGCUGCCGUCCUUGCAAGGAUUGUGGAAGAGGAGGCCGGUCAUCAACGCCCGCGCCCGCGCAUCAUCCCUGCGGGUCGCCCACCGCCUCCGCCCCUACCACCACCACGAGUCGGGGGCGCACCACGGCCAGGCGGCGUCGUGCAACCCAACGACGAGCUGGCCCGCGAGCGCCAGUUGCGCGACCACCGGCAUGCAAAUGACCUUUGCUUCAAGUGCGGAGACCGAUACUCGCGCGAGCACAGAUGCAAGCCAGCUACGCAAUUGCUCACCAUCCAUGUUGGGGAUUUUGGUGAGGUGCUCAGUGACGAUGCCGUCCACGCCCUGGAUUUGCUGGACGCGCCCGAGCCACAGGAACCGGGGCCGGAAUGCUGCAUGCUCUCCACGCACGCCGUUGCCGGGACGGAGUCACCACGCACCAUUCGUCUCAGAGCACUCGUCGGCAACCAGGUCAUGUUGCUGCUCGUGGACUCAGGGAGUGCUCAUAGCUUCGUCUCCACCGCGUUCGUGGAGCGCGUCAAGGCCACCACGGUCGCCGUGCCGGCGGUGGAUGUGCGCGUCGCCAACGGGGAGAGGAUGGUCUGCAACAGUAUGGUAAAAGGGCUGCAAUGGUGGAUCCAAGGCCACACGUUUCACACAGACAUGCGGCAGCUAGACCUCGGAGCUUACGAUGGCGUGCUCGGCAUGGACUGGCUGGAGCAAUUCAGCCCGAUGAGCUGCCACUGGCUGGAGAAAUCCCUGACAUUCGUGCACCAGGGCGCAACGAUCACCCUGCAAGGUGUUCGACCAAAGGACCAGCAGGCGUUGGAGGAAAUCGAGCCUGAUCAACUGCGCAAAUGGCAAGCCGGCAAUGACAUCUGGUAUAUGGCCGUGCUGGACCUGCCCCGCACCAGGGAGUCACGGCCAACCAAGGUGCCACCGAGCGUGCAAGGCGUUCUGGACAGCUUUGUCGACGUGUUCGCAGAGCCCAAGGGCCUGCCGCCUCACCGCCGCUAUGACCAUGCCAUCACUCUGGUGGAGGACGCGCAACCAGCAAAUUCUCGACCAUAUCGUUACUCGCCAUUGCAGAAAGACGAGAUCGAACGCCAAGUGCAAGAGAUUCUACAAUCGGGUGUCAUCGAGCACAGCAUGAGCCCCUACGCAGCGCCGGUACUCCUCGUCAAGAAGAAGGACGGCACCUGGCGUUUCUGUGUCGACUACAGACGGCUCAACGACGCCACUGUCAAGAACAAGUUUCCGCUCACGAUCGUGGACGAGCUGCUCGACGAGCUGGCCGGCGCGGCAUUCUUCUCCAAGCUGGACUUGCGCACCGGCUAUCACCAGAUCCGCAUGCGCGCGGGCGACGAGGAAAAGACUGCAUUCAAGACGCAUCACGGCCACUUCCAUUUCAAAGUGAUGCCGUUUGGAUUGACGAAUGCACCGGCCACCUUCCAGUGCUUGAUGAACGCCAUCUUCGCCAAGUACGUGCGUAAAUUCGUAAUCAUUUUCCUUGAUGACAUCUUAAUCUUUAGUGAGACCUUGGCGGAGCACCUGGAGCAUCUCCGCAUCGUCCUCGACCUGCUGCGGGCACAUCAGUUGUACGCCAAGGAAUCCAAAUGCUCCUUCGCGCAAGGCAGCAUCUCUUACCUCGGCCACAUCAUUUCCAAGGACGGUGUGGCAACGGAUCCGGAGAAGACACAAGCCAUGUUGGCAUGGCCUACCCCAACCACGGCCACCGAGCUCCGCGGCUUCCUCGGCCUUACGGGCUACUACCGCAAGUUCAUUGCGCAUUAUGGCAUCAUCGCCAAACCGCUGACGAGCCUCCUGACCAAGAAAGGCUUCGAAUGGACAGAGCGGGCGCAGGUGGCCUUCGACUUGCUCAAGCGCGCCAUGGUGACCGCGCCCGUGCUGGCUCUUCCGGAUUUUGCUCGCCCGUUCUCCGUCGAGACGGAUGCGUGCGACACCGGCGUGGGCGCGGUGCUGGCGCAGGAGGGCCACCCCGUGGCGUUCCUUAGCAAGGCGCUGGGAGUGCGCAAUCAGAAGUUAUCGGCCUAUGAGAAGGAGUUCAUCGCCGUCAUGAUGGCCGUCGAUAAAUGGCGUGCAUACCUGCAGCGGGGACCGUUCACCAUUGUCACAGACCACAAGAGCUUAUGCAACCUUCAGGAUCAGCAGCUCGCCACCGACCUGCAGCGCAAAGCAAUGGCCAAACUGGUGGGCCUUCAGUUCAAGUUCUGCUAUCGCCGCGGCUGCGACAACGGCGCGGCCGAUGCCCUGUCUCGCGUGGGAGCAGCUCUGAACCUGGACGCGCUCUCCAUUUGCUAG